rnacentral:RNase_P_RNA from 1 species
AGCGGUCGAAGCGGCGAUCGCCUGCGUCGGAGCGAAAGCCGAGGCGCGGGAGGAAAGUCCGAGCUGCCUUCGCCGGGUCGCAAGGCCCGGCGUCGUAGGGUGUGGCGGUCGCUAACGGCGACGCGGCGAAGCCGACGACGGGGCAACCCGCCGACGGCGAAUCCGACGGACAGUGCCACAGAAAACAAACCGCUAAGGGAGUAGCGAGUCCGGAGUAGCGAGUAGAGAGGAGUCCGUUUUUCCUCCUCACUCACUACUCCGGACUCGCUACUCCCCAGCAAGGGUGAAACGGUGCGGUAAGAGCGCACCGCGCGUCCGGGCGACCGGCGUGGCAAGGCAAACCCCGCCAGCAGCAAGACCAAAUAUGCGGUGAAGAGAGCCCUCCGGGGCUCGAUGCGAGUCGCGCCCAGACUCGUCACCGCGCCGGGCGACCGGCGCGGACAGCCGCGGGUAGGUCGCUACGGACCUCGCAAGGGGUCGACGAGCCGCGCGGGCAACCGCCGGCCCAGAUGAAUGGUCGCCCCUCUCGCGCAAGCGAGGGGAACCGAACUCGGCUUACACUCGGCCGCUCACC